GAUGAACGCUGGCGGCGUGCCUAAUACAUGCAAGUCGAGCGAACAGACGAGGAGCUUGCUCCUCUGACGUUAGCGGCGGACGGGUGAGUAACACGUGGAUAACCUACCUAUAAGACUGGGAUAACUUCGGGAAACCGGAGCUAAUACCGGAUAAUAUAUUGAACCGCAUGGUUCAAUAGUGAAAGACGGUUUUGCUGUCACUUAUAGCUGGAUCCGCGCCGCAUUAGCUAGUUGGUAAGGUAACGGCUUACCAAGGCAACGAUGCGUAGCCGACCUGAGAGGGUGAUCGGCCACACUGGAACUGAGACACGGUCCAGACUCCUACGGUAGGCAGCAGUAGGGAAUCUUCCGCAAUGGGCGAAAGCUUGACGGAGCAACGCCGCGUGAGUGAUGAAGGUCUUCGGAUCGUAAAACUCUGUUAUUAGGGAAGAACAAAUGUGUAAGUAACUAUGCACGUCUUGACGGUACCUAAUCAGAAAGCCACGGCUAACUACGUG
rnacentral:rRNA from 1 species